AGCUCCAAUAGCGUAUACUAAAGUUGUUGCAGUUAAAAAGCUCGUAGUUGGAUUUCUGCGUGAGCGGGGCGGCCGGCCACAAUAGUGGCUCGUGCUAGCUAUGUUCGCGCAUCCGGUCGGAAGCCGUACUACCAUUCAUUUGGUGGUGCCGGUGAACGGCCCGUUUACUUUGAGAAAAAUAGAGUGUUCAAAGCAGGCCAUUUGCCUUGAAUAAUUUAGCAUGGAAUAAUAAUAAAGGACUACGGUUCUAUUUUGUUGGUGUUCGGGACCGAAGUAAUGAUUGAUAGGGACAGUUGGGGGCGUCAGUAUUCCAAAGCGAGAGGUGAAAUUCUUAGACCUUCGGAAGACUAACCGCUGCGAAAGCGUUCGCCAAGGAUGUUCCCU
rnacentral:rRNA from 1 species